rnacentral:lncRNA from 1 species
UGGGAACAACCUGGUUGCUAAAUAUUGUGAGUUAUAAUAUUAAUGAUGAAUAAGUUCGUGUUGAUUAAAUAUGAAUUUGAUAGUUUUAUUGUGUUGGGAUUAUUUGUUUUAUUAGAAAUCGACAUCUAUUCCGAUGAUAAUUGAUGUCUGGAGGUUAUAUUGUUCAAUCGGGUAUUAGGAAAACUUUUCGUGCCAGAGUACUAUUCAUGAGUUACUAUUCACGAGUUACUAUUCAUCAGGCUACUAUUCACUCUAGUAUUGUGCAUUCGGGUAUUUGGGUACAAUAUUAUUCCAUGAGGAGAUGUGCUAAUUUUUCAGACCGUUGGUUGAAGUUAUAUUAGUGAAUCAAUAUGGACCGCUAGUGGAAAGUUAUAAUAGUGAAUCAAUAUGGAUCGCUGGUUUAAAGUUUUAAUAGUAAAUCAGUAUGGA